rnacentral:rRNA from 1 species
CCCCAGACUCCUACGGGAGGCAGCAGUGGGGGAUAUUGCACAAUGGGGGGAACCCUGAUGCAGCGACGCCGCGUGGGUGAAGGAGCGUUUCGGCGCGUAAAGCCCUAUCGGCAGGGAAGAAGGAGGACGGUACCUGACUAAGAAGCCCCGGCUAACUACGUGCCAGCAGCCGCGGGAAUACGUAGGGGGCAAGCGUUAUCCGGAUUUACUGGGUGUAAAGGGUGCGUAGGCGGGCUUGCAAGUCAGAAGUGAAAUCUAUGGGCUUAACCCAUAAACUGCUUUUGAAACUGUAAGUCUUGAGUGAAGUAGAGGUAGGCGGAAUUCCCGGUGUAGCGGUGAAAUGCGUAGAGAUUGGGAGGAACACCAGUGGCGAAGGCGGCCUACUGGGCUUUAACUGACGCUGAGGCACGAAAGCGUGGGUAGCAAACAGGAUUAGAUACCCGCGUAC